GAUGAACGCUGGCGGCGUGCCUAAUACAUGCAAGUCGAGCGAACAGACGAGGAGCUUGCUCCUCUGACGUUAGCGGCGGACGGGUGAGUAACACGUGGAUAACCUACCUAUAAGACUGGGAUAACUUCGGGAAACCGGAGCUAAUACCGGAUAAUAUAUUGAACCGCAUGGUUCAAUAGUGAAAGACGGUUUUGCUGUCACUUAUAGAUGGAUCCGCGCCGCAUUAGCUAGUUGGUAAGGUAACGGCUUACCAAGGCAACGAUGCGUAGCCGACCUGAGAGGGUGACCGGCCACACUGGAACUGAGACACGGUCCAGACUCCUACGGGAGGCAGCAGUAGGGAAUCUUCCGCAAUGGGCGAAAGCCUGACGGAGCAACGCCGCGUGAGUGAUGAAGGUCUUCGGAUCGUAAAACUCUGUUAUUAGGGAAGAACAAAUGUGUAAGUAACUAUGCACGUCUUGACGGUACCUAAUCAGAAAGCCACGGCUAACCACGUG
rnacentral:rRNA from 1 species